GUGAACGCUGGCGGUAGGCUUAACACCUGCAAGUCGAACGGCAGCACAGUAAGAGCUUGCUCUUACGGGUGGCGAGUGGCGGACGGGUGAGGAAUACAUCGGAAUCUACUUUUUCGUGGGGGAUAACGUAGGGAAACUUACGCUAAUACCGCAUACGACCUACGGGUGAAAGCAGGGGAUCUUCGGACCUUGCGCGAUUGAAUGAGCCGAUGUCGGAUUAGCUAGUUGGCGGGGUAAAGGCCCACCAAGGCGACGAUCCGUAGCUGGUCUGAGAGGAUGAUCAGCCACACUGGAACUGAGACACGGUCCAGACUCCUACGGGAGGCAGCAGUGGGGAAUAUUGGACAAUGGGCGCAAGCCUGAUCCAGCCAUACCGCGUGGGUGAAGAAGGCCUUCGGGUUGUAAAGCCCUUUUGUUGGGAAAGAAAAGCAGCAGGUUAAUACCCCGCUGUUCUGACGGUACCCAAAGAAUAAGCACCGGCUAACUUCGUG
rnacentral:rRNA from 1 species